CCCGCACCCCCGGGCCCCCAGCGAGGCCGAGCCCAGCCCCAGGGCCCUGAGCUCCCGGCCUUGCGGAGCUGUGCUGGCCCCGGCUCCCGCGCCCACCCGAGGGCCAGGAACUGCCCAGACACUGACCCUUAGUUCCACAUGCCAACUGGAAGCCUGAUGGCCUUCUGCCCAGCAGGAUGUACGGCAAGGAAGAGGGGGGCCUCAUCCAAUCAGCUGAAGACCUGAGUAGAACGAAAGACUGACCUGGAGUAAGAAGGAAUUAGCCAGCAGCCAGCCUCUGGACUUGAACUACAACCCUGGCUCUUCCCUUGUGUCUAGUGUGACACCCACCCUGAAGAUUUCGGACUUGCCAGCCUCCAUAAUUACAUGAAACAAUUCCUUGAAAUAAAUACUUAUAGAUCGGUAGAGAGGUGAAUAGAUGCAAUCUGUGUCUCUGGAGAACCCUAAUACAUUUACAUAAAAUUGAUCUUACUGAUCUUCUCAAUGGUGAAUAUAGAAUGUGAACAGAGCUGCAAUGGAAGCAGACCAUCAGGGAGCUGCCUCGAGCUGAAAAAUCACUAGAAAUAGUAAUGAUUGAACUGGGGCAGCUGGUACAAGAACCUUGGAGCUUCAGCUGGACAAUGCCAUCUUCAAAGCCUUUAUAGAUAACAUCUCCGCCAUCUUCCUGCACAGUUGGCCUGUGGUCACAGAAUAUUUGUGAUGUAUGUAAGAGACCUGAAGUUUCCGUCAAAAACAUUUAAAACAACUUAGGGCUUAGAUUUUAUAUUGGUAAAUUCAUAAAGUUAGAGCUACUUAUACAACAGAAAAUGAGUAUUAUAGCUAAUCUCAUUUGUAAUUUUUUUAAAAUUUCAGAUAAAAUGCCAAAACUCACUCAUACAAGUGUUUGCUUUACUUAUUAUAUUUUAAUCCUGCUUAUUUGCAAUCUUUUUAGGCAUUUAAGAUCUUAGAUGUCCUAGUAAUUACAGUAAUUACCUAAGAUAAUACUCAUUUCUUGUGAAUGAACAGAGGCAGACUGACAGAACACAUGCUGUUUUUUUUUUUCAGGUAAACUUUGCAUGGAAAUAUAACAAUUAAUAUGAAAAAUGCAUAAAUCACUUAUGGUCAAUUAAAUGAAUCUUUACAAAAUGAGCACACAUUUGUCCCAGGCCAACACACAAUGCUAGCACCCCAGAAUUCCCUUCUGUGCUUCCUCACAACAAAAAGUAAUCUUCUCCUAACUGGUUAUUACCACUGAUUAAUUCUGCCUGCUUUUUAACUUUAUAAAUAUAAAUUCCAUUUAAAAAACAUAUAGCACGGGGACCCCUGGGUGGCUCAGCGGUUUGGUGCCUGCCUUUGGCCUGGGGUGUGGUCCUGGGGCCCCGGGAUCAAGUCC